CGGCGCCGGGAGAGACCUCGUAACGGAACUGGGACGCCAGCGCUGCAUUGUGGGAGCUUUUAAAGCGGCGGGGAGCUCGGCGCGACCCUCGGGCCCACCGGGCCACGCUCGCCCGGCCCGCGACGCCCCCCCGCUGUCGCCUGGCCCGCGACGCACCGAGGCCUGAGGACCCGAAAGCCGGGCGCGGGGAGAUGACCGGUGGCUCGUGACGGUCCCACGGGCAAAAUCUUCCAUCGCCCGGGGCUGAGACUUGUCAAACUGCCCUCUACGGUCACCCGGAAAGUAGGAGGCUUUUUCUGCAGAGGGAAAAAAAUCAAAAAGAGCCGUUCCAUCCCCCCUCCAAGGACUGGGUUUGAAUUGCUUUUCAUCUGCAGUGGCUGUGAUUCAGCGUCCCUCUUAGCAGCAGGCACUGACAGAGGCAGGAGAGGAAAAAAGAAAGAAAGAAAGAGAAAACACAGCAAAUGAAUCAAACGGACCAGGUAGCAGGCAAGAGUGUGGUUAUCGUUGGACCAGGAUUCAGGAUCUGACCGAGUAGCUGACUCUUAAUCCAGUUUGUGUUGAUCACCAGGAGGAUCUGGACCUCAGUGUUAUCACAUCUAAAGGUAAGAGGCCAUCCUAGGAAACAAUCCCGUGAGUGAUAUUUCAUGAAUUAUCUUCGUGAACCGGAGCAAGUCGCUUUGCCUUCCUGAACCUUCUCUGAGAUGGAAGGGUGAUCUGAAAAUAUGCCUCCCGGCUAAACCUCAGCCCUGGCUGGCAGAUCUGGCUGGCUAAUGGGACUCCCCUUUUCCUCUCCAUGGCUCCUGUGCCUCCCCCUCAAGACUGUGUGUAUUCCAAGAGGACUACAUUCCCAGGUGGGGGUGUAUUGUUCUUAUAAUGAAGGCUUACAGAAUUUCCUCGAAUGUUGCAUCUAGUUUUAGCGUUCUGAAUCUGUGAAUCACAAAUUAGAAUUGGUGCCUUUGGAAGAGGAGAUGGGACAUGAAGCCUGCUCCACCUUCUGAUAAUGCCCUAAAGAGCAGCUCAAAAGACAGCUAAAAGAACCCAGAAAACAAAAUAGGUAAGUCUUGAAGAGAGAUCAACA
rnacentral:lncRNA from 1 species